UAAAGUUUUGGUCCUAAACUUACCAUUGUUUAUAAUCAGGAUUACACAUGCAAGCCUCCGCACACCAGUGAGAAUGCCCAUUAAACCCCCAACAGCUAGCCGGAGCAGGUAUCAGGACCGACAUUUCAGCCUAAAACGCCUUGCUACGCCACACCCACACGGGCACCCAGCAGUGAUUAACACUAAAACAUAGGCGCAAGCCUGAUUUGGCCAUGAUUAACAGAGCCGGUAAAUUUCGUGCCAGCCACCGCGGUUACACGAAAGACUUAAAACAAUGAGCCUCGGCGUAAAGCGUGACUAAAGAUAACGCUAUAAACUUAAAGAAAAACCACCACAAGGCCGUAAAACGCUACUGCGAGUGAGAGCCCCACCAAUAAACGGACUUUAAGUAAAAAGCCGCCCACCUCACGAAAGCUAAGAAACAAACUGGGAUUAGAUACCCCACUAUGCUUAGCCCUAAACAUAGACAGUACUAAUACAAUACCGUCCGCCAGAGAACUACAAGCAAAAAACUAGAAACUCCAAGGACUUGGCGGUGCUUCACAUCAACCUAGAGGAGCCUGUCCUAUAAUCGAUACCCCACGCUAAACCUCACCAUCUUUUGCCAUUCAGCCUAUAUACCGCCGUCGUCAGCCUACCUUAUGAAAGAAAAACAGUAGGCAAAACAGUCAAUAACUAACACGUCAGGUCAAGGUGUAGCAUAUAAGAUGGAAGAGAUGGGCUACAUUUUCUACCACAGAACACACGAAUGACACAAUGAAACACGUACCUAAAGGUGGAUUUAGCAGUAAGAUAAAAAAGCAACACUAUCUUAAACACGCUCUGAAGCGCGCACACACCGC
rnacentral:ncRNA from 1 species